UUUACGAGGCAAAAGCCAGGGAAAUCUUUGCACUUUGUUUUAUUUUUGGUCAAAAAUUACUUCUAGGUGAGUGACACGGAAAUUGCGACUUGCAAACUUGACCGAGACUACUCCAAGGCGUGAUUGCGCUCCUGCUCUGUUACCAUUCGAGUUGCGGGUUUGAUUUCUUCUUGAAUUCUGACUAUACCACUUAAAUCGCAUUUAAUGUUAAGGAUACCAAUCGACCUAGAAUUUGGUCGUCACUGGAUUUGAACUGCGACCAAAAAACAGAAUCAUAGAGACAGAUAAUUCUGAGUGUAAAGGACCUCGGCAUGGAUCUACCAAGAAAGUUAACUGUCUGUCCAUCAUCAAAGUCAUCGCUGUUGCACAAAAAUCAACGUAUUUAAGUGAGAAUCUUCUAAAAUGUUACUUUUGAAACUGAGAUUGUGGUGUCAAGGAUGCAAGAAGAGAUCGGUACCAUUGGAGCUUUCACGGAUCGAUAAAAUUAAUCAGAAGGAAAUUGUGUGAAACGUAUUCUAAUUUAAAUGAUCGCUUAAUGAAUAAUGUAUACUGGUCAUUUCGUUUUCAAAUUCCUACUCAUUCAACUGGUAAACUAUUUCACAGAAAGUAAGCAAUUGGACAUGUGGUACGCCGAAUCUAAGCGCAAUUUCUAUACGCAUCUAUAUAAUGAUAAUUAGCACCAACAGUUAUUUUUGCAAGCUGCUCUGCAUUAUUUUCGUUGUCGACAAUCGGGUUGCUAACGGAUUGUUCAUUACCCACCCAGUCAUUCUUCCACGUUCAUAUCUACGUACAAUGCCAAGUCGUGUGUUAUUAUUAUUAGAAGGUAAUCCCCACGUUAGACCGUGAGAAAACGUGUACAGGUAGAUGUUUAUUUGUUAAUGCGCCCAAGCAAGUGAAAUAUGGCACUCCUUGUCGCUUCUUUGUGGACCGAAGAAAACGACAACUAACCCCAAUUCACAAUUUCCUGAUCGAUUAAUAUUCGGAACGAAGUUAAAGUGACAUGAUGACCUCGAGGUGUAUG